rnacentral:tRNA from 1 species
UGUUGUGUAUUAUUGUUGUAAGAAAAAGGACUCAUAAUCCUUUGGUCGUAGGUUCAAGUCCUACUGGGCCCACCA